rnacentral:rRNA from 1 species
AUGUUGACCAUGUGCGCUAGAUAUCAGGCGGACUGUACUACAGCCAGCUGCGUGAGCGGAAGGAAAAAGGGUUCUCUCACCGUAGAAGCUGACGACGCCGUUGGGGACGAAGAACAUGAGGAAGACGAUGACGACCCAGCAGAAGAUCUUGGCCAUCCAGCCGCCGUGGUGGACCUUGUCGCGCGGGUCCUUCUGGUCCUUGAUGCCGGCCAUGAUGGCGGCGAGGAUGGUGAAGAAGAGGAAGUUGCCGAGGCUGACCCUGAGCACGGCGUCCGUCUCGAACCACUCGCGGUCCGGCGUCUUGUGGAAGUGGUUGAUCCCUGCAACAGAGCGUCGUCGGUCAGAUCGAGCGAAAACGAAUUCGGGGUUAGGUUAGGUUAG